UAGCUGGCGAGAUGACCAUCAAGGCUGAAGUAUGGCAACACUGUGCUGUUUGAGAGUAAACGGAGAAACAAGUUGCAAUUGAAAAUGUUAUCUUUUCCAUUAUUGGAAGCCUUGGCCACUUCAAGCAAGUUGAAGGCAGAACACUCCAAGCAUGAUGGAAUCCCUUCUCUUGUCCGGCAGCAUUCGUGGAUGCUGGCGAGAUGACCAUCAAGGCUGAAGUAUGGCAACACUGUGCUGUUUGAGAGUAAACGGAGAAGUAUGUAUCAAAUUCAGUCUAUAAAUGCUGUAAUCUGUGGGACAUUUUAAGUGAAACUUUUUUGUGUAUCAAGCUUUUAAGCGGAGUUCCACCCAAAAAUGGAACUUCUGCUUUAAGUGACCGUGAGCCCCUUGACAUGCCAC